ACAACCUGGUCCUGGAUGAGAGCCAACAUGGACCCAAAGCAGAGGGUGAAAAGCCAAAGGCUACAGCUUCCAACCAAGUUAGAACAAGAGAAGAGAAAGAAAAUGUAUCAGCACCACCUGAAGGAGGAAAGACCUCUGACAAAGACUCACUUCCAGGGGCUAAAAGUGUACUGACACGGGUGAUACGUCUGGCACAGCGAUACCUGUUUGACCCAAUGGGCCGACAGCGAGUUGAAGAGAGCAGUUCACAAACACAAGUAAGGCCCAGACAACGCAGUCCUGCAGCUGGAUGCGCAUUAAGGAGUCGGACCUCUGCUUCAUUAACACAAGCUCGGGCCAAAGCAAGAAGGCAGAGCCAGCAGAGAGGUGGGGUGGUGCAGGGGAGUUGUGGUGAUGUCACCACUGCCCCUGUCACUGUAAGAGAUGCAGCUGGUUGUGAGAAAACUGAAAGGGAGCUGUCAUCCAGGCAUCAGACCUGCGUCCCACUCAGGAACGUCAAAGAGUCACAGCUCAUCUGACACCGAAGAAGGAACAUGAACGUCAUGGAACAAGUGAAGAAUAAAAUGCACUAAUUUUUUACA
rnacentral:lncRNA from 1 species